rnacentral:tRNA from 1 species
ACUUUUGUAGUUUAAUAUAAAACAUUCGAUUUUUAAUUGAAAAUUAUUUAAUAAAAUCAAAAGUU